AUUGAACGCUGGCGGCAGGCCUAACACAUGCAAGUCGAACGGUAACAGGAAGAAGCUUGCUUCUUUGCUGACGAGUGGCGGACGGGUGAGUAAUGUCUGGGAAACUGCCUGAUGGAGGGGGAUAACUACUGGAAACGGUAGCUAAUACCGCAUAACGUCGCAAGACCAAAGAGGGGGACCUUCGGGCCUCUUGCCAUCGGAUGCGCCCAGAUGGGAUUAGCUAGUAGGUGGGGUAACGGCUCACCUAGGCGACGAUCCCUAGCUGGUCUGAGAGGAUGACCAGCCACACUGGAACUGAGACACGGUCCAGACUCCUACGGGAGGCAGCAGUGGGGAAUAUUGCACAAAGGGCGCAAGCCUGAUGCAGCCAUGCCGCGUGUAUGAAGAAGGCCUUCGGGUUGUAAAGUACUUUCAGCGGGGAGGAAGGGAGUAAAGUUAAUACCUUUGCUCAUUGACGUUACCCGCAGAAGAAGCACCGGCUAACUCCGUG
rnacentral:rRNA from 1 species